rnacentral:rRNA from 2 species
UACGUAGGUGGCAAGCGUUGUCCGGAUUUACUGGGCGUAAAGAGCGCGCAGGCGGUCGAUUAAGUCGAGUGUGAAAGCCCCCGGCUCAACUGGGGAGGGUCACUUGAUACUGGUCGACUCGAAGGCAGGAGAGGGAAGUGGAAUUCCCGGUGUAGUGGUGAAAUGCGUAGAUAUCGGGAGGAACACCAGUGGCGAAGGCGACUUCCUGGCCUGUUCUUGACGCUGAGGCGCGAAAGCUAGGGGAGCAAACGGG